CUGCCCUCAAGCCCGGCUUGUGUGUUGGGCGUGGUCCCCCCGAUCUUCGGGGGGACCUCCCCGAAAGGCAGCGGCGACGCCCCGCCUAGGUCCUCGAGCGUAUGGGGCUUUGUCACCGGCUCGGGAGGGACCCGCGGGCGUUGGCCAUCCACUAUUCUUUGAC
rnacentral:misc_RNA from 1 species